GUGGGGAAUAUUGCACAAUGGACGGAAGUCUGAUGCAGCAACGCCGCGUGGGGGAUGACGGCUUUCGGGUUGUAAACUCCUUUUAUCACUGAAGAAGCUUUUUGUGACGGUAGGUGGUGAAUAAGCAUCGGCUAACUACGUGCCAGCAGCCGCGGUAAUACGUAGGAUGCGAGCGUUAUCCGGAUUUAUUGGGCGUAAAGAGCUCGUAGGCGGUUUGUUGCGCCUGUCGUGUAAGUCCAUGGCUUAACUGUGGGACUGCGGUGGGUACGGGCAGGCUGGAGUGCGGUAGGGGUAACUGGAAUUCCUGGUGUAGCGGUGGAAUGCGCAGAUAUCAGGAGGAACACCGAUGGCGAAGGCAGGUUACUGGGCCGUUACUGACGCUGAGGAGCGAGAGCGUGGGGAGCGAACAGGAUUAGAAACCCUAGUAGUCC
rnacentral:rRNA from 1 species